AUCGAAACAGAUGUAGCUGAUUUCAGGUGGAACAAAUAAUUUAAAUCGUACCUGAAUUGUAUUUUGAAUUAAAAUAUAUGUAGCUGUUAAAAUGUUUCUUCAUUGGAAAGAAUCAUCAAAAUUCUGCGCAAUCGGACUUGUAAUUUUAACGUUACCUGUCCUAGCAUAUGCAUGUACAUGGGGAAAUUAUGACGAUUGUCCGUCGUCGCCUAGCUGUUCUAAGAGCUGUGGUGGUGGUUCAAGGUGCAGGACAUGCGAGUCGUGCUUCUGGAAAAUUGACAAAACUUUCUGCGAAACGUGCAAUGCCUUUUGUUAUAAUGGCGGCGUGUAUCAAAGCGGAUCCUGUCAAUGUCAAUCUUGGAGAUCGGGGGAUUGCUGUGAGCGUAUUCGAUAGCUCUGAGGCGCGGAACCAAUAGUUGGAUAAAUAGCGUAAGGUGAAGGACGGAUCAUCGUACACGAUUAAAAUAAACUUUUAAACAUAACGAUUAUAUUAGUGUUUGGUGUGGACAAAAAGACAUCUCAUCAUGCCAUUUUCCAUUGCCUCAGCCGAUGGCAUGAGCAUAAUUUUAUUUUCGUAGCCGUUGGCAUGACAAUCUAAUUAGUAACCACGGCCGUUGUCUUGAGCCGUUUUUCAAACCCCACUCGAAUUUAAACGUUGAUAAAAAUGUUGUGUGUUCAUGUGGGAUGCUGUAAUUUGGAAUAACCGAAGACAAAUGAUUAAAGAUUUCAAUAAAA